UACGAAGGGGGCUAGCGUUGCUCGGAAUCACUGGGCGUAAAGCGCACGUAGGCGGAUUGUUAAGUCAGGGGUGAAAUCCUGGAGCUCAACUCCAGAACUGCCUUUGAUACUGGCGAUCUCGAGUCCGGGAGAGGUGAGUGGAACUGCGAGUGAGAGGUGAAAUUCGUAGAUAUUCGCAAGAACACCAGUGGCGAAGGCGACUUACUGGACACAUAAUUGACGCUGAGGUGCGAAAAGCGUGGGGAGCAAACAGGG
rnacentral:rRNA from 1 species